ACAACGAAGAGUUUGAUCCUGGCUCAGGAUGAACGCUAGCGACAGGCUUAACACAUGCAAGUCGAGGGGCAGCACAGGUAGCAAUACCGGGUGGCGACCGGCGCACGGGUGAGUAACGCGUAUGCAACUUGCCUAUCAGAGGGGGAUAACCCGGCGAAAGUCGGACUAAUACCGCAUGAAGCAGGGAUCCCGCAUGGGAAUAUUUGCUAAAGAUUCAUCGCUGAUAGAUAGGCAUGCGUUCCAUUAGGCAGUUGGCGGGGUAACGGCCCACCAAACCGACGAUGGAUAGGGGUUCUGAGAGGAAGGUCCCCCACAUUGGUACUGAGACACGGACCAAACUCCUACGGGAGGCAGCAGUGAGGAAUAUUGGUCAAUGGGCGUAAGCCUGAACCAGCCAAGUCGCGUGAGGGAUGAAGGUUCUAUGGAUCGUAAACCUCUUUUAUAAGGGAAUAAAGUGCGGGACGUGUCCCGUUUUGUAUGUACCUUAUGAAUAAGGAUCGGCUAACUCCGUGCCAGCAGCCGCGGUAAUACGGAGGAUCCGAGCGUUAUCCGGAUUUAUUGGGUUUAAAGGGUGCGUAGGCGGCCUUUUAAGUCAGCGGUGAAAGUCUGUGGCUCAACCAUAGAAUUGCCGUUGAAACUGGGGGGCUUGAGUAUGUUUGAGGCAGGCGGAAUGCGUGGUGUAGCGGUGAAAUGCAUAGAUAUCACGCAGAACCCCGAUUGCGAAGGCAGCCUGCCAAGCCAUUACUGACGCUGAUGCACGAAAGCGUGGGGAUCAAACAGGAUUAGAUACCCUGGUAGUCCACGCAGUAAACGAUGAUCACUAGCUGUUUGCGAUACACUGUAAGCGGCACAGCGAAAGCGUUAAGUGAUCCACCUGGGGAGUACGCCGGCAACGGUGAAACUCAAAGGAAUUGACGGGGGCCCGCACAAGCGGAGGAACAUGUGGUUUAAUUCGAUGAUACGCGAGGAACCUUACCCGGGUUUGAACGCAUUCGGACCGAGGUGGAAACACCUUUUCUAGCAAUAGCCGUUUGCGAGGUGCUGCAUGGUUGUCGUCAGCUCGUGCCGUGAGGUGUCGGCUUAAGUGCCAUAACGAGCGCAACCCUUGCCACUAGUUACUAACAGGUAAAGCUGAGGACUCUGGUGGGACUGCCAGCGUAAGCUGCGAGGAAGGCGGGGAUGACGUCAAAUCAGCACGGCCCUUACAUCCGGGGCGACACACGUGUUACAAUGGCGUGGACAAAGGGAAGCCACCUGGCGACAGGGAGCGAAUCCCCAAACCACGUCUCAGUUCGGAUCGGAGUCUGCAACCCGACUCCGUGAAGCUGGAUUCGCUAGUAAUCGCGCAUCAGCCAUGGCGCGGUGAAUACGUUCCCGGGCCUUGUACACACCGCCCGUCAAGCCAUGGGAGCCGGGGGUACCUGAAGUCCGUAACCGCGAGGAUCGGCCUAGGGUAAAACUGGUGACUGGGGCUAAGUCGUAACAAGGUAGCCGUACCGGAAGGUGCGGCUGGAACACCUCCUUU
rnacentral:rRNA from 1 species